rnacentral:lncRNA from 1 species
GAGAAAUGGUGGGUGAAUCCUUUAAUGAUCCUGAUUUACGUUCCACUGCAAAAGAUGUAUUGAAGGAAUGUGGAGGUUUACCUAUUGCAAUUGUAACUGUUGGAAAAGCCCUAGAAAAGAAAAACAAGCAUGAAUGGGAUGAUGCCCUUAAUCAGAUGCGAAAUUCUACCCCAGUGAACAUCCCUGGAGUGAAUGACACAGUUUUUUCUAGCAUAAAAUGGAGUUAUGAUAGAUUGGAGAGUGAUGAAGUUAGGUCAUGUCUUUUACUUUGUUGUUUAUUUCCAGAAGACUAUGAUAUUCCAAUUGAGUAUUUGGUUCGAUAUGGGUGGGGUCGAGGAUAUUUUAGCAGCAGCGUUACUUUGGAAGAUGCAAGAAAUAGAGUGCAUUCUUUGGUUGACCAACUAAAAAGAAGGUUUUUGUUGCUAGAUAGUGGCAAGAGUGAGGCUACAAAAAUGCAUGACGUAGUUCGCGAUGUUGCCAUAUGGAUUGCUUCAAGAGAUAAAAAAGGAUUUUUGAUAAGAAGUGAUGCUGAAAAUAAAGGGUGGCCAAAUUUAGCUACAUAUGACCAUUACACUACAAUCUCACUUGUUGGCGAUUUGGAGAUUCCAGUUGGUUUGAAAUGCCCAAAACUUGAGCUUCUACAGACGAUGGAAGGACUUUUUUCAGAAGGUAGCAUGAACAACAUUUGUAAGGCGAUGAAAGAACUGAAGGUUUUAGCUUUGGUGGGAAAGGAAAUGAAAAACCGAGUCUCAUUAAGAUCACUGAAGAAUCUGCGGACCUUGUGCCUAGAUGGGUCUAAUUUUGAUGGCACGUCUACUGAUGUUAUUGGGAGUUUGGAGAAUUUAGAAAUCCUCAGCUUUCGGGAUUGUUAUUCCAUGCGUGAGUUGCCGAGGGAAAUUGGACGACUUAAACAGUUAAGGUUGUUAGAUACGACAAACUGCGAGGAACUUGAGGUGAUUCCACAUGGUAUCUUCUCCAGCUUAUGUAGACUUGAAGAGUUGUAUAUGGUUAAUAGCUUUAACGAAUGGGAAAUUGGAAGAGGAAGAGAAGAAAAGGGGAUGGCAAGCAUUUCUGAGGUGAUGUCUCUGUCCGAUCAUUUGAAGGUUCUAGCCAUAGAGAUACCCAGUGUCAUCCACUUGUUGACAAAAGACAUAGUCUUGAAAAGCCCAACAAUAAGAUUCCUUAUACGCUGUGCAACAUGGGGACGGCUUUUUUCAGAGAUGAGUACUUAUGCAUUCGAAAAUUGUUUGGAGAUUAGUGAAAGUGAUGCAAGGGAGUUGGAGGAGAGUCAAGCAGUCAAACUUUUGUUGAAAAAAUCUAAAAAAUUGUAUUUGUCGGAGGUUAAGAAUUUCUCUGUCCUCACUGAUUUAGACCAAGAAGGAUUUCAAGAUUUGAAAGAUUUGCAGCUUUGGAAUUGUCCACAUAUCGAGUAUCUUGCAAAUGGAACAAGUGGGUUUUUGACCAACCUAAGAUUCCUUGAAUUGGUAUUUUGUGGUGUCUUAAAAUAUGCCUUUUCAUUAUCAGUAGCAAGAAACUUGGUACAACUCAAAGAAUUAAACAUUGAUGGAUGUGGUCAAAUGGAAGAAAUUGUGUCGAAGCAGGGGAGGGAACAUGAGGAGGAAGCCGAUAUGAUAUCUUUCGAUAAAUUAACCAAUUUGACUCUCGAGGGUCUAGGGAGUUUGGUUGGUUUCUUCCAAGCCAAGAAGCUAUACUCCAACCAAGAGGUAUGUCCCACUCUCCAAUCUCUAUGAUAUGAGGAGGCAGCCGAUAUGUGGAAAUUUGAAAUUGUUUAACUGAUAAUGAUUUUUCUUUUUCAGGAAACAACGGCAAGGGUUGAGCAUCAAUCUGCAGGCGUAUUUGAAAAAGCAAUAUUUCCAUCAAAGUGCAUUUCAUGGUUUCCAAGUUUAGAAGAGGUAGUAUUGGGACGUAUGAAGUUUGAAGGUGUGCUAUUUGAUUUGAAAAACAUUCCAUCUGGAUUUCAAGGCUUCCAAAAUUUGAGAUAUUUGGAAAUGAGAGAAUGUUCUGGUCUAGAAUAUGUGUUCUUGCAUUUAAUUGCCCGAAAACUUUUGAAUCUUGAAGAGGUAAAGAUAUUAAAAUGCCCGGACAUGGAAGCUAUAGUCAGAAUCCCAGAGGAAAUUGAAGAAGAGGCGACAAAAUACAUGAUUUUGUUUCCGAAACUGAACACAUUUGAACUAGAAGACCUGCCUCGUCUCACAAGUCUUUGUCCAGAGGGAUUUACAUUUCUACGGUCAUCCACAAAAAAAAUGCACGUGAAAAGAUGUGAAAAUUUGAAGACAUUGGGUGUUGUAAUUCCACAAAGAAAGAAGUUGGAGAAUAACUUGAAGAAGGAUUCAACAAGUCAUGAUUUCAGCACUUCUCCAACACGUUCAUCAAAUUGGUGCCCUGCUGGAUGUGGAUGCGCACCAUAUUCAAGACCAAACGCCCACCGCCCCAUUGAAAUAUUGCCACGUCCAAUUAACCUGGAGGUAAGCUUUUAAAUCAGGUUCAAUUAACCUCUAUAAGUACAACUUUUAAUCAGUAUUGUAUCAUCUUGUUGAUCGUGCUUAAUUUUCUAGGUUACACAAACUAAUCUUGAGGACUCAAAUGAUAAUGAUAAUCUCGAAAAUCUUACUGUAAGUGACUGUAAUUCGAUGGAAGUGAUUUUCCAACUCAAGGGACCGAAGCAUGAAGAAAGUAGUCACUCCAUUGAAGCAUUCAAUAAAUUGAGUUCCUUGCGGUUAGAUAGAUUGCCAGGUUUAACGCGUGUUUGGGAGAUGGGUAGUUCACAACCGAUGUUGACAGGAAGCAGCUUCGGAAACUUGAAAUCGCUGGAGGUUGGUUUUUGCAACCAGUUGAAAUACUUGUUUUCAUCGUCCAUAGUCAAACUUCUCGUGAGUAUAGAGGACAUAGAAGUUCAUAACUGUGAGAAGAUGGAAGAAAUCGUUGCCGCAGAAGAAGAAACUGAUGAAACAAUUACAUUACCUAAAGUGAAGUCCAUCAAGCUUGAAAGUCUGCCAAAACUCAAGUAUUUUUGUGGUGAAGCUUAUACUUUGAAGUUGCCGUCUUUGGAGUUAUUGGAGUUUGAUGACGUGCAAAACUUAAGCUUAUUAGCUCCAAAGCUUAUUGCCACACAUCCCCGAUUGCAAGUACGCACCGCGUUGGGAGUGGCUGAAUGGAAGGGGGACCUCAAUGCCACUCUUAAGGAAUAUUUACGUCACAAGGUAUGCUUUAAUAUAAGGUUUUUAAUUUCCAAUCAUUUAUGGCAAACACCACAAAAAUUCGACAACAAAUUUAGGCAAAGCAUAAUCAACAGUUCAGAUUUAGUUUGACGAAAGUGUAAUCAAAAUUUAGUCAAAAACCAUACACACACACACACACAUAUAUGUAUGUGCGUAUGUGCACACUAGAGUGUAUUUAGAUAUGUUUUUCUUCUUUUGAAAACUCAAUUAGAUCUCAAGAAAAUAUCUGCCUUUUAUUUCUAACACAGGAAGGGUGAAGAUGAUGAAAUCGAGAGGGAGGACGAACACAAUUAAUUGAUCAAGCACAAAGGUUAACAUGUCUCCAUCUUCAACUUCUUCUAGGCUUAGUAAAAACUGCUAUUUUCGGAAACACAUAUACAAUAAGCAUAACCGUUUCAACUUAUUUGAGUUUCAGUGAUUUCUAAUAUUCUCCAAUGCAUGCAGAACAACAAUUCAAAGAAGGUUGUGGCUUCAACAAUUCGUUUACCAUCUCAUAUGUACAAACCAAUAAAAUGUCAUUUGUUGCAUCAGACUUUCAUUCCAAAAAUACUAUUUAUGUUGCUUAUUUUAUGCAUGUAUAAUAAAUUUCGAGUGUGAUUGUUACUGUUUGUAUCUAAGUUCGCAUUAUUAAUGUAUGUUUAUUUGCACCAAGAAAUGAGAAAUGCUUAUGUAAAAAUAAAUGAAUAAGAUUAAACAAGAAAAACUUUACGCUACUCAAACUUGCAAACACUCAAACUACAAGCAUUAUGAAUAAACACGGAAUCAGGCUACGCAAUUGCCUUCAUCAUAACAUGAUUUUGGCCCCCAUUUUAUAAUUUCCUACCACAUUUUCACAUUCUUUCCAUGAAUUUUAUAAUCAUAUGCAAAAGAGUUCAAUCUAGGGGCUCCAAAAAUAUCACAGACAGAACAAUUAACACAAAUCGAAUAAAAAUUUGAAAUCAUGAAUCGAUCCCAAAACUGAAAGUUGAAAUUUUUGAAAAGAACUUACAUUGGAGGACAGCCCACCGGGACAGGAUCAUUUAUACCUCUUGGGUCGAGAAUAUUGGCCGGAAAACCGCGGUGACCGUUUCUUUGAUAUGAAAUUGAGGAAAUUUGGCUACGGAUCUGUAGAAACUAACUUGGGAGUUGGAAAGAGGAUGGAAAGAGGAGUCUGGAUAUGUAAUUUGACGGCCGUUGGUGACCCGUGGGCGAAAAUAAACUUCAUGCGAAAACAAGACCAGAUUGAGGUAAGAAAGAAAAAUACAUACGCAGAAAUAACAUGUCAGUCAGGCAAGACAAGUAAUUGCAACCAUAACACAACACAAUGAAGAAACAUACCAUGAGGAUUUUGAACAAACAUAAUGAAGUGUAACCAACAGCAUACAAAUAUCAAAAAUAUAGAAAAGAAUGCUAUACAAUCACUAUAAGUGAUUUCAAAGGCCAUCUUCUAUUUCUGUUUCUGGAAAAAAGUCAUGUCGUCAAGAUGUCAUUCCAUUUCCUUACCAUGAUGAGUAACAUGAUAUUUGAACUUGCUUGCAUUCAGAGAUCAAACAUGGUGGGGUUAUAGAGCAGGUGGAGAUGUUUUUUCUCUAUCCUCAAUCAAAAUAUCAAUGUCUCCCUCCUCCCUCGAUCACUGUCUUUAUUUGUGUGUCAGUUUCAAGCAAUGGCUUUGCUGAACGAGAGAGGGAGAGGGGAAGGAGUUCCCAAGCAAAUUAUGAGGAGGGUGGUGGGGGCAGACUGCUCCGAUCACAGAUAUAUUUCAAGGAUCACAAUUAAAGACUUGCAAUCUUUUAUGGCUGCCAGUUGUGGGACACUCGCAGUCAGACACACACAGAUGGAGAUUGUAAAAGACUUUGAAUUAGAAUUAGUAAAUUUGUGUGUGUAGGGGUGGCUCUGUAUGGGGUUCCAAACUGAAAAUGGAAUUUCGAAUCCCAAAUCGAAAAUUUUCAAAACGAGAAUUUGAAAACCAAUCUUGAAUCAAAAUUUCGGUAUUCCUAAUUUUCGGGAUUCACAAAAUGUUUUCGAUAUCAGGAUGCGUCGGGAUUGAAUUUUGGGUUUUGGGCUGAAAUUUGAGUUCAUCAUAACAUGAUUUUGGCCCCAUUUUCUAAUUUCCUACCACAUUUUCACAUUCUUUCCAUGAAUUUUAUAAUACCUAUGCAAAAGAGUUCAUUCAUUGCCUAUUUCAAAACAAUACAAGGUUCUACAGAGUUCAAUCCCACAUCAUGUUAUAGACAUGCUUCAACUACAGAGUGCAAUACCAGAAGUCUCAUCUCCGACAUUCAUACAGAAUAUCGAAUAAAAAUUCGAAAUCAAAAAUCAAUCCCAAAACUGAAAGUUGAGAUUUUAGAAAAAUAACUUACAUUGGAGAACAGCCCACGAGAAGAGGAUCAUUUCUACCACUUGGGUCGAGCUCCAAUUCCGGCGAUAUGGCCGGAAGUUGGCCGGAAACCCUGGGUCACCGUUUCUUAAAUUUGAAGUUGAGGAAAUCGCCUACGAAUUUAUAGAAACCAACUUGGGGAUUGGAUAAAGGACGGCAAGAGCAUUCUGGAUGUGUAGUUUGAGAGCCUUUGGUGACACGUGGACGACAGAGCUCUUGCGCCGGCACUCGGCAGUCGUCGGCUUGCUGUUUAAUGGGCUCCUGUUGCGGCUCAAAAGACGAGGAGGAGAGAGGAUACGGGAGGAGGAGAGAAAAUGGGUUUCUCACACUUUUUACAUCUUAAUUCUUUUCCGUAUUUUUUUUUUAUAGAAUAUACGAUAUUAUCUAUCACCAAAAUUGAUUUUGGUAUGUGAGAUGAGGUGGAAUACGUUUUAAUGAUAAUUGUGGUUAGAAAUAAUAUAAUUUAAAUUUAUAUAUGAUAAUAAUUGAAUAUAAAAUUUCUUACUUACGAGUUAUAAAUAAAAAAAAAUACCAUUAAUUUUACUUUUAAUCUAAAUAAAAAGAAACAAAAUGAAAAGGAAAAGAAAUAAAAUAAUUUGAAAUAGAAAUGAAAAAUAAAGGUUAACUGACAGAGCCCACCAUGAUUUGCUGGAUUUUGCAAUAUGGCAUCCAUGAUUUGCAGAGCCCACCAUCGCAAAGAAGGAAAAUUUGGAAAGCUCAAUCCUUGUCUUUUUCUUAUGUAAGUGUCGUUUUAGUGAACCGAAUGUUCCGAUUCCAACAUCCAAAAUACCGCAAUGUGAAUUUUUUUCAUACUACAAUUGGAUUGUAUCUUAAAAUUAUGAAGUUUUGGAGCAUUGGUCACGCCAUCAAGCUCCUUUGUGUUGGAUUUCGUUAGAGAUCGUAAUUAAUCCAUUUCCUUUUUUGUGUCUCCCUCCAAAACCUUAAAUUGAAACAUGAACUCCCUAGCAAAUAAGAGCCCAAUUUGACAACCAAAAUCUUCAUCGUUCGAGCAUCAAUGUUCUCUUAAAUUCGCUGCGAGCAAACCACCAUGAAAUCUCCUUCAUGUGCAUCUCAUAAAAUUAGAACAAUGCAGGGAAGAUUAGUGUGGCUCCUAAGCUAGGAUUACACUUAUGAAUCGCAAAAUAAUUCCUCCUCCACUCUUUGAUUCUCUCUUUCACUGGCUAACAAUAUUUUACUCUACCGUUUCACCCCUAAGUAAGAAAUAGCAUCUUUUUGAAAAUUUCACAUUUGACCUUAAUUUAUCUCUUUUGCACUAUUUGACUGAACGACAAAUUUUGAUUGUCUAAAUAUUUAUAUCAAACUACAAAUAAUAUUGAUAUUAUAUAUUAAUAACGUAACUGGAAUUGUAGUACCCAACAUAUCUAUCUUGAAAUAAAUUUUGUUGUCUAUGAAGCGGCCUACUCGACUCUCUCUUGUACUCUUUAGUCCAGUCCAUUUUGAGUUUGUGUAAAUAGAUCAUUGUUUAACAAUUGACAUUCAAUAUUGUGAUUUAGUGGUAUUCAUCAUCACUUGUAAGUGAGAGAUAUUAGGUUUGAAUCUUGGAGUGACGAGUUUGUGUAAUCAUUGUAUUAAAGAAAAAAAAUAUUUUUGGUCGGACAAAAACACAAAAAUGCCCUUAAAGCCCAAAGUGCCCCCACUACCCUAUCACUGCCUGCAAGUUCUUUCCUCGCCUUUGUUUCCCUCCCUUUCUCCCUCUCAGACAUUUGAGGACUCAAAAACUCUUUUAACUCUCUUCUUCUCACUCUCAAAUGUCACCCUUUCUCAAUCAUACGCACGCCCAGUGAUCUCUGAAGCACCAAUUUCUCUUCCCUUUGGCUCUCUGCAUCUCACCAGAGGUAAAAAGCCCCUGGUUUUUUUAUAUUUUUUAUUUUAUUUUAUUUUUAUACUUUUUCCUCAGUAAAUUUAAUCCAAUGGAUUUUUCGUGUACCCUUGCAGUAAUACAGGAAGAUUUUGUAGUAUUUCUGGUUGUUGGAUGAUACUGGAAUAAUUAUUGGGAUUUUGAAGAAUUUCUGGUUCGUAUGAUAUAUUUGCUAAAAGACCCAAAAUUUUGAAGCAGAGCGGCCAUGGAAAGGUGUUUGAAAAGAAAAUCAUAUGAUGAGUCAAUGGAGUCGUCAUCGUCUCCGAAGGAGAAUGACAAAAGCUCGAAACAAGCUUGCGUCGAAAUCAACUUGGAAGGUCUUCCUGUUGAUGCCUUGCUGCGCACUCGAAUUUGGGAUUAGCAUCCAAAUGUUCGAGUUCGAGAGCAAGUUCGAGGAGUAUAUAUGCAAAAAGGUCAUUUUCAGACUCCAGACCAGGACUUCCCCCACAAGAAUACUAGUGGGGGACCGAGAAGGUUUAUAUCUGCUUGGUUUAUGAGUUUCUGACUGGUUGGAAGAUAGUAUAGCGAAAGAUGCUUCAUGUUGUCUAUGCUGUUAUCUGUUUAAGCUAAAUACAGGAGAGCAAGCCUGCGGUGAUUGCUUUGUUAGUAAAGGGUUUUGAAAUUGGAAGAAGGAAAGGUUGGAGGGUCAUGUUGGAGGACGGAAUAGCGCCCUCAACCAAGCUUGGAGAACCUAUGAUGCUUUAUUAAAGCAACACCAAGCACGAAAGGAAUGUAAAACUAUAUUAGGUGUAUCAAUUGUUUGUAUGAGGUUUCUCUUGCAUCAAGGGCUUAUAUAUUGCGGAGACGAUGAAUAUGAAGGUUCAAAUGAUGAAGGAGUUUUUCCUGGACUCUGGAAUUUCCAAUGUGGUCGCCACGAAGAGUUAAAAGCUGUCACAUUGAGAAAUCAUCCUUUAGGUCUGAAGUUGGCUUCACUUGAUACUCAGAAGGACAUCAUAAUUGUUUUUUCAAUGGAAAUAUCAAUGCAAUCGUUAAAGAUAUUGGUAGUUCGCACUUUUCCAAUCUUAUCGAUGAGCGUCAUGACUUGUUUUCAAUGAAGCAAUUGGCCAUUGUAAUACGUUUUGUGGAUAAAGGUCAAGUGAUUGAGCAUUUUUUUAUGCAUUGUGCAAGCCACUGAUAAUACUGCUGACUCACUUAAGGUGGCUAUUGAUGAUUUCUUUUCUACCCAUGGAUUAAGCAUGUCAAAGCUAGGGGACAAGUAAUAUGCUUGGUGAGUUGAAUAGUAUUAACUAUUAAGACAAUUAUAAUGAAGGAGAAUGAGUGUGCAUUUUACGUUCGUUACUUUGCUCACGGCAGCGAGAGACACGAAUUUCGCUUUAUUUACGAGCUUGCCACCGGGCUGAUUUCAGCCCAAAUUUUGCUUUAUUUACAAGAUUGCCAUUGGGCUUAAGAACGGGUUUCCAGUCUUUCGGUUGGAUCCGGGCUUUGACUUGGGGAGAGAGAGGGAAUGGGGGCAGAAGGGUUGACGCCGGGUUGGAUGGAGAGGUUCGCCAGGAUUUGGGGGAGAGGAUUUUCGGCAUGGAGGUGCGGGUGGGUGUGCCUGUGGCUGAUGCAUCGGUCAGAGGGUUGUUGGGGAGGAGAGGAGGGGCACAGAGUGAUUGACAGAUUGGAGAGAGAUGGGAGCUACGAGUUUCGACUAAAAGAGAGAGAUUUAGUUAGGUCCUCUGCCAGGACCUAUGACAUUUUCUCCAAUUUUAGAGAGAGAGAGAGAGAGGAGAAAGCAUGGCUGUGUCCAUUUUUUGGGGUUAAUGGGUUACCGCACAGGGUCGGUGAGGAGAGAAUGGCAGAGGGAGGUAUGGGAGGGAAUGUUGUAAUCCCCUUUUCUUCCCUCUUUUUCUCUCCCGACUCUAUCUCUGUAACCAUCCCUCCCUUUUCUCACUCUAUAAUUUCCCUCAAAUCCCCCGCCGAUUCUCUCUCUCGCCAUUCUCAGUCUCGACAGCCGCGAAUCCUUACAGCUCCAUGCUCCGCCUCCAGAUUCGUCGAGAUGAGAGCCCCAAGACCGUCGCCUGCACCACCGUCUCAGAAAAGUAAGCCAAAAUCUCGCGAGAAUCAGGCUGCACACGAGCGGAUCCAAAGGCCAAACCCGAUCUUGAAGUCGACACAUCCAGAGGUAAAAAUUUCUCAUCUUCGAUUUCAUAUAUGUUGUUAGAUUAAAAGGGAAAAUAUGAGAACUAACUCAAGCAAAUGUUCUGGAUGUAAGCUAAAAGAUCAAUUUAACUUUUCUUCCCUGUCAAUUUAGUGCUUUUUUCUUUUCUUAUUACUUUUAGGAGUUAAUUUUGGAGAUAUAUUAUUACUAACAAAUUUAAUGUUGCCUCUGUCAUAUUUUUUGCUGAAGAUUUCUUUUUUGAAAACCGUAUGCCAUGACAAAAUAAAUUUACAAAUUGCUAAUUUUUCUGUUUUGUAUAAAAAAAUCUUUGUUCACUCUACCUGAAUAGGUACACUUGACUGAGAAGGAAAGUCUUUUCAUAUUAAAUCCAUGUUAGCCUGACUGCUGCCACCCUGGAACCAUCGCUCUUCGGUAAGUUUUCAACACAAUAUAGUUCAAAUCCUCUUAACCAUGUUCUUGAAUUUUACUAUAUGUAUCAUGUUCUUUGCAUUUCAUUAUCUGAACUCUGUUAUUUGAAUUUGGUUACCUGAAUCGUGCGGCCAGUGGCUUUGUAUGGCUAACUGGUGUGAUUUGGGAGUGUUUUUAGUCAAUGGGAGACAGGGGACAAAUGUGUGGACAGCGAAGUCAAGUGGGAUUAGGAAUUUAGGAUAGUAGAAUUUUUGCUAAUUUAUGGGAUUAGAAGUCUUCCUUUAUUUUUGUCUUGGUGUGAUCAAUUGUAACAAAGAAUUUUCAUUAAAAUUGAGGUAGUGAACCAACGAAUUUUCAACUUUUGUUUAUCUACAGUCGUCUCCAUUGUCUUGGUAUUGGACCAAGCAUGAAAUCCCAAGCACUAUAUCACCACAAAGCAAGCAAGCUGAAAAGCAAUCCAACAAACCCUUUUUCCAGAAACACUUAACAGAACCUUUCUAUGGGUUAAUUGUUGUUUCAAUUAUACCAGAUUGAAAACGAGUAUGGAACCAUUGAUCAAGCAUACGGGGCUGUUGUCCAAACCUAUAUUAAGUGGGGAGCAAGCAUGACUGUUUGUCUUUAAAUACAGGGUGCCCUGGGUCAAGUGGCAACAAAAAGAUGCUCAUGCAUCCGUAAUGAGGCUUUUGUAGUCAGUUUUCAUUUGCAUUGUAUUGACUUUGACCUUUUUUAUCAAAGUCCAAUAGCAAUAGGUGCAGUAAUUCUCAAACCCUAAUUUGUUAGCCAACAUCCCAAGCCCCGUUACAACCUUUGACUUCAAUUUUGAGUGUUAUGUGUCUCAAUUUGUGGAGUUUGAAUUUGGUAUGAGCAUAUGGUGUCACUGGUUCUCGCGUCUAAGUAGUAGCAUUCCAUUCAUGAGAUCAUAUCUAAACAUGCUUAUUAACUCCAGAAAUUGCUUUCUUGGUAAUACAUAUAUGUGAGCAUUCGUUUUCAUAUCUACAUCAAUCUUCUCACAUAUAACUAGCAUAGGGUGUGUGGUUAGAAAAUCUGAGUGAAAAUUGAGUGCAUAUCUUGUAAGGAAUUGAGCGAAUUCUCUAAGGCAUGUUCUUACAUUCAAAACAUUGUUUUAAUUGAUUAAUGUGAACAAGUAAGUAGUGACUAUGAUUAAGUAUGUGCUUAAGUGUAGAGAUGACUCAAAUCUGUGGGGAUGAUGAUCUUUAACAUGUCAUGUGCUUUGGAAAUCCCUGAGGCAAAUGUUGGAAGGUUUAGGUUGUGUUUUAUUUGUUUUGUUUUGUUUUAUUUCUUUGUUUUGCUCGAGGACUAGCAAAAGCUAAGUGUGGGGGAAUUUGAUAGGAGCAUAUUUAUGCGACUUAAUUGGCUUGUUCUCGUGCAUUUACGUUAUGUUUCCUUAGUUAUUUUAGUGUUUAAAGUCACUUUUGUGUGUUUUCAGAUUCCAAAGCCAAAGUGUGCAAAAUGAUGUAAUUUGGAGCCUUUUGGAGCAAAAGGAAUGGAUGAAUGGAAGACUUGAAGACAUUAGGAUUCCUAAUUGACGAAGGAUUCCUAAUUGAAGAAGGAUUCCUAAUUGAAGAUGGAUUCCUAAUCACAUGAGGAUUCCUACUUGAAGUAGGAAAGUUAAGCCAAGGUUUCCUACUUUGGUUUGAUUUUUCCUAAAUGUCCCUAAAAGUUCCAGCCACUUUGAAGACCUCAUACACACUUUAGGACAUAAAACAAAGAUUCCUUGCACCAUUCAAGGUAGUGCCGCACCUCACAUACCCUUUCCACACUUUCCCUAACCCUUAUCUUCCUUGCCGUGCAAAAGAAAGCCCACCUUCCCUAUUUCCUUGCAUUUAAACCACAUUCCCUUUUAGUUUAAGGAGUGCCGCAUAUUUCCUUGCCUUUCCCUUAGUUUUUGACCUUGUUUUCCUUUUCCCUCUAGGUUGUGACUUAAAUAUUUGUUACUUAAAAUAUUUCCUAGCCUAAAACAUUCUAAACUUUCUGAAUAAAUACCCUAGCCGCACCUCUAGUCAAUUUCCCUUAAGUUUCUGAUUUUUGUUUCCUAAUUCUAGAAGCUUUAAACUUAAUUCCUGAUUACCUAAUUAGCCUAGGGUUUUUAAUGUCCUAAUCCCUUUAAAUAAACAUCCUUGUGCAGCCACAAACAGCCCCAUUCAUCCAGAAACUCAUCAUUCACGCCAGAAACUGAACUCCAUCUUCAACAGCCCCAUUCCUUCACCAUUCACCAUAUUUUCUGACCCAAAACCACCCUAGCCGCACCACCCAUCAACCCUAAACACUUCCAUACGUCCCCCAUCCAUUCUACAUCAUUCAAUAACCCAAGAAACCACCAACAUCCAAUCUGCCGCAAGCAAGGAAAGGGGACAGAUUCACUCAAUUGUUUGGCUCUUCAUUCUGAGUUGUUGAACAAUUUUAGGUGUAUUCUAUCUUAUAUUUCAAUGUCUAAUUCAUGUAAUCUUUGUUUUGCUUUAAGUAUGAUUGGCUAAAUUCGUUUUGGCUAAGGGUGUAUUCAAAACCAUGAUUAUAUAUGUGAAAUAAGUUAAUUACUUUCAGUUAUCGUUGCAUAAGUCGUGAAUACAAUUUGCUUAACCGUUUGAUUUAGAACUUAUUCUUGUAUGUUGAUUGAAAGUGCACGCUUAAUUUGCAUGCUUGAAUUUGGUGCUAGGAUAUAAGUUUGUUUCACCUAAUCGUUAUGAAUUUAUAUUCGCAAGUAGUGAAGAUCGCUAGUCACGAUCGUAAGUAGAUUCCUGGCAAGAGUAUCAUGUUUUUCAUAGUUAUGAAUGCCUUGUCGAUGCUUAUGAUUUCCACAUAACGUAAUGAUUCUAACUUGUAUCUUUAUCAUGCUAUUCAUAUAGAGAACUUGUUAGGAAUAAUUUGUUUGCGAUGCAUAUUCAUCCAAUUCAAUGAUUCUAGGGAAAUCUGAAGGUUAAUUUAAGCGGACCUAAUUAACUUGGAGUGUCGAGGUUCACAACUUAUUAAAUUGAUAACUGGAAAUCGAUUUACGUUGCAUAUAUUUCAUGUGUGGAGAAGAACCCCUUAGCUAUUCCAUCAUCCAUUGAUUCAUCACAAUUUUGUCUUACAAUCUGUUUUCUUUUUCAAUCUGCCCAUUUAAUUAUUUUCGUCCAAAAUCAAUCCCACCUUAUUUCUUUGAGUCAUAUUAACUAGAACUUGUCUUAGAAUAUGUUUUUAGGUGUUUUAGGUCAUUAGAAAACCAAAAUUCGUCCAAUUUGUGUUAGAGUCCCAAAACUGCCUAGAAAGUGGUUUUUAGGCAGUUUUGAGUGUUUGUUUGCUGUUUUGAGUCUUUUGAUUUGUUUUAGUGUUUUAGAGUUUAGUUUUGCAUUCUUUGAGUCUAGUUUAGUAUUUUAAACUUUGUUUUACAUAUUUGAGUCAGUUUAGAGUGUUUUAGCAAUCCUUCCUAAUCCCCGGUUAAAAAAGUGAAGGUUGAAGGUGCUGUGGGUUGAGGAGCUGUUGAGGAAAUUGCUGUGGAGCGAGUUGAGAGAAAGCUUGAAGAAGGCUGUGGUGCAGGUGGACAUGAUUGAGGAAAUGGCAAGGAGAACUCAGGUGAUGGAGUGGAGGGGACAGAGGAAGAACACUGUGAAGAGCUACUGUGAUGAAGAAAUGGAAAAUGAUCUUCAUUAAAGAGAACAUGCCUUUGAAAUGUGGAGACUCUGUUAGAAGACACGUCCAAACACCGCCGAUAACCUUGUGUGUUGAAGGCUAUAACCGAGAAAGACACAUGGUUUGCUUUUACCAUCCAAUUUUUGAUGCAUAUGCUGAGCCUGAGCAAGCAGAUAGCAGCAAAAGCAACACCAAAAACCUUUAACUUGGAAUAAUCAUGAGGCUUUUUGAAAAAAGAAUUUCCCAUGGAGACUGAGACUGAUCCAAAAGAAAAUGAAAUUAAGAGGUAUCUGAUUGAUCUGAUUUGAUAAGAAAUACAAUGCAGUAAAAAAGGCUUCUACCCAAAACUUGUGAGGAACUUUGGAAGCAACAAGAAGUGUCCGAGCAGUUUCAGUAAGAUGUCUAUGCUUGCGUUCCACACACCCAUUUUGCUCAGGUGUGUGGGGACAACUGUAUUGAUGAGAAAUACCAUGUUGAAGCAAGAAUGAAGCAAAAGCAGAACCAGUGAACUUACCCCCUGAAUCUGUGCGAAGAAUCUUGAUUUUAUGGCCAAGUAAGUUUUCAACAUAUGCUUUGAAAAUGACAAAAGUAUAGAAGACUUCAGACUUGUGUUGUAAAGGAAACAUCCAACUGUAUUUGCUAUACUCAUCCACAAAGAGUACAUAGUACUUAUAGCCACUAAUUGAUGAAACUGGACAGGGACCCCAGACAUCACAAUGAAUUAAAUCCAAACUAUGGGAUACAGUGGUAGUACUAAAAGAAAAGGGCAGCUUAUGAUUUUUGCCAAUAGCACAGUCUGCACAAAAAAACUGAACAGAAGCUGAAGUAUGAGGAACAAGCUUAUUUGUAUGUAAAAUCCUUCGGAGAAUGGCUAUGGAAGGAUGACCGAGUCGUUUGUGCCAUUGUUGUAAAGAUGCUUGAGUGCUUACAAGUGCAGAAUAUGAAGCUUGGAAUGGCUGACCAUGCAGAGGAUGGAAACCAUCCCUAACUGGGCCUCGAAAAAGCAUCUUCCCAGUGGAACGGUCCUUGAUGACAGAACCAUCAGAAUCAAGAGUUAAAGAGCAAUAAUUGUCUCUUAGAAACUGAUAUGCAGAGAGCAAAUUGAAUUGCAUCAUUGGCACAUGAAGAACAUUAUUUAAUCGAAAGGCAGCAUGUGGUGUUUGGAGAAUAGAAGAACCUGUAUGGUGGAUGGGCAUACCUUGGCCAUCACCAGCAUAAACCUUGUCGUCACCAGAGUACAGAAUGGGGGAAGUGAUAGCGGAGAUAUCAUUGGUAACAUGAGCAGUAGCACCAGAGUCCAGAAGCCAUGUAGGCUGAGAAGAAGAGGCAGUAGAAGCACACAUAGCAGCAAGCUUGGCAGGUGGAAUCUUUCCAGCAAAGGCAUGAUUCAUGCGAGCAUAGCAGUCAAGAGCCUCAUGAUCAAAAGAAUUGCAUAUUUGACAGGGAGACCGAGUUCCAGAAGACCGAUUAAAGCCACCAGAGUGGCGAUUAUAAUGACUAGUAUUAUGAUGAAAGGAACCAUUACCAGGGCCAGAGUUAGUAUAAUGUCCACGAUAGUUGCCUCGACCUCUGUUGUUCUUCUGAAAAUUGCUUCGGCCACGAUUAUUGCGCUGAAAAUUGUUGCGAUUGUUGUAGGUAGAAUAUGGAACAACAUAUGCCUGGGAGGGAGGAGGCGUAGGUAAGAGACCUUGCUGGAGAGGCAAAGCUUGAGCAGCAAAUGCUUGAAAUGGUUCAGUGAGAGACGACGAAUGAGCUUUCUUCUUGCGAUGCAUAAAGAUCUCUUUGUUCAUGAGUAAGCCGUGAAGUUCAUCUAAAGAAGUAGAUGAAAUGCAAAGCAUUAUCGAAUCAAUGAAAGAUUCGUAAUCAUCCGAGAGGUCAUUUAGUGUAACAACAAUGAGAUCUGGUUCCGACACCAGGGCUCCGGCAGCCAUAAGAGCAUCAGAGAUGCAUUUGAUACGCUGCAGAUAAUCAGAAAUUGACAAAUCACCUUUUUGAAUCGCAUGAAGACGCGAUCAGAGCUGGUGAAUGUGCGCCGCCGAGACUCCGCCAAACUGUUGUUCAAGAAUCUGCCAUAAUUCUCGAGAUGAGGUGACGCCAACGGUGAACGGAAUAAGAUCUUCAGAGAGAGUGGAAUUCAACCAGAUCAGGAUAUUUUGAUCCUUUUCAAACCAGAUCUCGUAAUCAGGAUUAGGAACAGCAGUACCAAUACCGUUUUGAUUGAGAAGAAAGGGCGAUGGACAUUUCUCCGAUCCAUCGAUGAUACCUGUAAGUUUGUAGCGCCGGAAAAUUGGAGCGAAAAGAGCUUUCCAGGCAAGAUAAUUGUCCUUCUUAAGCUUUGUAGGAACCAUACAACUGAUGUUUUGGAUUGGAAUUGAGGAAAUCGAAGAAUUAGGGUUUAUCGGAGCUGAAUUUGAGGAAAUGGGAGUAGGAUUCUGAGCGAAAACUUCUGGAUUUGCAGGCGAAGAGGUAGAAGACGCCAUUGUCGAUCAAGGAUUUGCAGAGAGAAAACGAAAUUGGGAAGAAAAAUCAAAGAUUGCAGAGGAAGCUAGGAUCGGUGCGUGAGCAGAGAGGCGAGUGAUACCAUAUUAGAAAUAACUCUGGUAUUUUCAUUUCUUAAUGAAUAAGGAAUUACAACUGGUUUAUAUACAUUUGUGAGAAAUAGUUUAGCGACUAAUUACCCUUGGUUAACUGACUAAUCUAGUGAUUAGUUACAUAGACAGUUGUAACAGACUUGUAACCAAAAUACAACAAACUAUAUAUGUGACUCUUUACUUAGCCCUUGGUUUAUAAAUCCCAACUUUAAAAUUCCAAGUAGAUGUGUCUGUUAAUCGAUUGCAUUUGGGAUGGAAAUGGUUUUGAAUGAUUUGGAUUUUCAUUAAUUUUAAUUCAUCUGCUAAUCAUAGUUUCAUGUAUUAGAUAGUUGCUUUGCUCUCACAAAUUUUGUUGGUAGGGGUUCAGCAAAGCUUUCUAGGGCUAAAUCUUCAGUUUGCUGUUGGGUAUGUUUACUUUAUGCUUUUGUUUUUUGUUUUUUGUUUUUUGUUUUUGUCUGGAGUAAAUAUGCUUAAGAUGUCACAUGAUUAAAGGUGGAGAAACCACCGUCCCUUUUUUCGUAGAAAUUUGUAAAUUUUUUUUAAAAUAUGUGUGGGUUGCUGAAACUAAUUAUUUGAUCAGUGUGAUUUUUUGUAAUUGAGAAUUUAGGACCUUGGUAACUUGAUUAAAUAGGAAUUUUGUGAUUAGGAAUUUGUGGGUUUACCUCCUAAUUUAAUCCCUUUCUUAAGAGGGAUCUGGUCGUAACACACAAUGGGGGGAAGAGAAGCGGCACCAGGUUCGGCGAUCAAUCUGAAGAGGAAGAGGUCAAUUUUGAGCACAAGUCCAAUCCCCGGCCCAAUUUUGUAUGAUCAUCUAAUUUCAUGUUUCCUUUCUAUUCUGAUUCCAAAAGUAUGUUUCGAAAUGAUUAGGGUUUCAGUUUUUGUUUUAAUCUUAGUUGAAGGAAGAUAUAGGGUGUGGUUUUGUUAAUGGCGGUGGAUGAUUUGGAUGAAAGUAUGUAUCCUCGGGAUUUUUUUGCUUGCAGUUGUUUAGGCCCGGACUGAAGAAGUUUUGUGGAAUGAGAUUCCUAUAUCGAAUUGUCUCUCUGUUUAUGGCAGGUAAUAAAGGUGUUCCAACCAGUAGCUGAUAAAAUGUCUUUAUGUAUAUGCUUUUGUUGAUUUCUGCUGCGAUAAUGAGGGAAUCCAGAGGAUUGAGGCCAGUUAAUCUGAGGUUUGUACUACUCUAUCCCUUUCUUUCUUUCUUUCUUUCUGUAAAUUUCUUGAAAUUGACGACGCACGUUCUGAUUCUUGCUGUGUUUGGGAGCGGAGAAAGCUCUGGAUUAGCUUUGAUCACUUGAAUUUUGUCUUAUUUAGUUCAGCACAGUCGGACUACAUAAUCCUACCAUUGGGCUAUUUCUAUAGAGGGUUUAUGUUGACUUUUGUUGGCCUGUUGACAGUCUGGUAGGUCUAUCAUAUUGAUGGAACUAAAUUGUGAGUUAGUUAUGGUUUAGAUUGUUGAAUUUUGAAUUUGCAAUUCCCUUUGAAACUGUCACAAGCGAUGUGUCUGUUGUGGCUACAGGAAUCAAAAGCGAGUGAAAGGUAAAGCUUUUCUCUCCAAGCAUUCAUUGCCAGAAAUUGUAGUACCUCUUUUAAAUUCAAUUUUUUAUUUAUUUGCAGAAUUGUAUUAUCCUUUUGAAGCAGUGGGGAGCCGCGGGUUCACUCACGCUUUCAAAUUUCUCUCUCUCUCUCUCUCUCCCCCCAUUGUAUUUGGGUUUUUCUCCUAUUUCUCUUUUUUGUUGAUCUAAUUUGUGGUGAAGUUGUUGAGUUUGCUUGAAUUGGAACGUGGGUUUAAUUGAGUUUCCUUUACGGCCACUUUGUGUCUGGCAAAGGUAAUAAUAUUACUCUUCAUUCCAUAAGCUUUAUUUUUAAUGCCCAUAAAAAUUUGGAACUGAGAACAUGAUGGGGUUUUAGGCAAUACCCAAGUUCUAUAAUUUUCCCCGCUUGUUUUUAUUAGUAAUUUCUUCAAUCAUGUUAGUUUGAUAGUGUUUUGCUGCCCAGAAUUUUUUUGAAUUUAAAAUAUCAUGGGAUUGGGGUUUUAAGAUUUUAACAACAAUUGAUAUGAAUUUUGGUGAAUUUUGAUGCUCAAUGGACUUUGUUAACGGCUUCUAACUUUGUUAUGCUUUGGAAUAUUGGUGGGUUUUCAUCAAAUUUUGCUUAUAUCUUUGUGCGGUGUGUCUGUUGUAUUAUCUGGUCAUAGAUACCUUCGUUCAGUAAUUUGAGAAGCAUGGGGAGAUAAUAGACUAAUCAAAGAGAUGCAUGUGAUCAACGAUAAAUAGGUAAGCAUCAUCCUUUUCCUUCUUUUGUUAUGAUUGGUUGUAUAGAGGAUUGAGAAAAAAGUUGAAGACAAUUCCAUGCUUUUGAGUUAUAGCAAUUAGUAAAUAUAAAGUUCAUUGAAGUUUUGAAUCCUUCGUUAGUUUAUUUAUGGUGCGUGCUUGAGAAUGAAAGCAAUGGACAUUAUAUGGAAUUGAUGUUCCUUUUAAUGUCAGUAAAGAAAGGAAUUGUUCCUUUAUUAGCAAUUAUAUGAAGUAGGCAUAUUAUGCAAUACAAUGUCUACAAUCGACUAUUUUACUUUUUGUAUACAAGUACAAACUUUUGAUCGAAAGCCACAAAAACUACCUAAAGGCCAAAGAACUGUGUGUGUUAGAAGAACAAAAUAUGGUGUAAAGCUUAAAUUUUGGGCACUUAAAUAUAUGUUUUAUUUUUCAAUUACAAUAACUUGCAUGAAAAUUCAAUUGGGUUUGUUCUGGUCUCCAAGAAUUUUGCUUUGUUUGGUUACUGAUUAAUUUAUGUGGUGGGAGUUUAGUUUUUGCAUUUCUGCCUAUGUAUAUAUGAUUCGAAAUGGACUGUUCAAUUAUAUAUUUGUAAUCGAAAAGCUCGAAGGAGAGGUGAAUUAUAUUACCGACACCGUUCAUUUAUCUAUCCCUUUGCUCAUUCAUGAUUAUGUAGAAUUUUUUUCCAGGUUAAAUGUGUCAUAUUCAUGUAGUUAAGGCUGAUGCAUUUAAGUCCCGCAGUAUCGCGUGGGCCAAUUUACUAGUGUAAACGAAAAUCGAAAUCAAAACACGGAGAUUUUUACGGUUUUAAAACGACUUCGGUUUGAAUCUGAACUGUAGCAUGAAAAAACAGGUUGGUUUUGCUUUUGAACAUCUGAAAUCAAGCCGAAACUGAAUCACAUUGCCAAAAUACCUGAACGAAAAGGCAUAGAGUACGUUCCGCAUAAUGCCCAAAACCAAAAGCCGCAAGGGUGACGCCGAACCUCCGCUCUGUGUAUGAUAGCAUGCCCACCGGACCUGAUGCUCCGCCGCAGCAUGUAAAUCUUGGAUGAGUGGUACACCAACAUUACAAUGCAGUGGUUUAUAUGAUGACGAUCCCAACUGUUAGGUACUCAAGCCCAAGGGAAGAGCCCAACCCAAAAGACUAGUCCAAUAGGUGGGAGGACCCCAAGGACUUAAGAACCCCUACACCCCCAUAAGUGUAGUCGAUGUGGGAUCAUAACAUUACACCACCCUUCGGAAGCCGACGCCCACGGCGGCCCUUACUCUGAUGGCUUUCACUCUUAACGGCAGUGCACCCUUUGGUCAUCCCGUUAAGGUAGCCCUUUCCAGGUCACCCCCUCCGCAGCGUCGGGAACCUAGGCUCUGAUACCAAUGUUAGGUACUCAAGCCCAAGGGAAGAGCCCAACCCAAAAGACUAGUCCAAUAGGUGGGAGGACACCAAGGACUUAAGAACCCCUACACCCCAUAAGUGUAGUCGAUGUGGGAUCAUAACACCAACAUUUCAAAUUCAUUUUCUUAAUCCUUCUUCAGGUUUGUCCACACAACAAAUUGGUGGCAUAUUCAGAAGACACCAAAGGAAAUGAAAUCUAUACAGUUUGUGUCGUUGAUGCCGAGACAGGUGCUCAUGUGGGUCUGCCUCUAGUUGUUACAACAUCCUAGUUUGCAAAUGGUUUGAAACCGAAAUUAAAACCGUUUGAAACCGAACUAAAUCGCAACCAAAUGGUUUGGUUUUAUCUUGAUUCGUUCAAGCUUCAAAUUCACACCGAACCGAACUGGCAAAAAAUUCAGUUUCACUUUAAAACCGCACAUAACCAAACCGUGUCCAUCCGUGGUCUGCAUUGGAGGAAAACUGGGGAAAACCUCCCGGUAACCUCAACUCUGAUGGAGGAAAUGUAUUGGAGAUUGAAGAUUGUGAAUUCUUGUUUUUGUUUUUCUCCAUAAGAUUUCCAUACAAAAUUUCUAUACGAUUUUUGCCUUCUCUUGUAAUUUCAUUAUGACUACAUACUACAAAUUUUUGGUGACCCUCCGACAGCCACGGAAACGACAACCCACUUCUGAGAUCGGAAGCUAGCGUAUGGAGACGGCGUGUCGGAGAUUGUCUUGACGGUGGAUUCGAGCUGUGGCGUCGAAUAUUAUGUUUUUUGGUCAAAUAAUAAAUUUUGUUAAAUUAGUCAUCAAUGGGUGAUUAGCUAUCAAUAGGUUCGGACUCAUAACGUCAUGCAAAAGUUUAACAUUUUUCUACCAUUAUGAUAAAGUGGUUAAUCACACCGAUGAAUGAUUAGUCACAGACGAAUUAUUCUCUAUCAAUCAUACAAAGAUUUAAGGAUCUGUUUGGUAUCUUAUUUGAAAAUUUUAUUAUUUCUCAAAACAUUUCUUAAGAACAUUUCUUGAAAACAAUUUUCUUUAAGACUCAAAAACUUGAUUGGUUUGCGAUUUAAAUUUUUUAAAUCUUAUGACUUAAACUAGAUAAAUAGAUCUAAAAAUAGGGGGUCGCAUGAGAGGAAGAAAAAGGAGAGAGAAUGAAAGAAAGUAAGAGAGGAGUGAAGGCAAGAGAAAGAAGAGAGAGGAUUGGACGAGAUAACGAGGAAGAUGAGUGAGAGAAAGAACCAAGAAAAUAAAAGGAGCUGAUUGGAGGAGAGACGAAAAAGGUUACAAAAAAAAAGGAGAAAGAAAGAAGAAAAGAGAGAGAGAUAGGUUUGAAGUGAGAGAGGAGAAGGAAGAGAAAAAAAAUGAGUGAGUUUAAGUUUAAAAACUCUAAAAACUCACUUUUUAUGUUUUUAGAUAAUAUACUAUAUUUUUUAGUUAGUAUUGAAUUCAGUUUUUAAAAAUAGUCUUACAAAACAAGUUUUUAAGGCAUAAAACUUAAAAAUUAUUUUUGAGUUUAAAAAAUUAAAUUCAAAUAGAGUACCAUAACAUUUUUUUACUAUUUGUGAUAAAGAAGCACUUGCUACCCAUGCGAGCUGGUUGGAUAUAUACAAAAGGGUCCUUUCAGCCUUGGUGCCACUGCCAGACAGAAAACAUGGAAAGUAAAGAAGAGAAAAAAAAAAAUAAAGCAAAAGAAGGUGAUGGUGGAAUUGCAGAAAGAAAUGAAGGAAAAGGAAAGGGGGAGUCCACGUGAAGAAAAGGCAGAAGAAAGACGAAAGAAAACAAAGAGAAAACAAAGAGAAAAAAAAGAUGAAUGAGGAUUUUCGUAGAAUUCUCCUCGUAAAGAUUCUAAAGAUUCUUUAAUCAUAUCCAUUUAUCGUAUAUAUGUUAAAAAUUAUUUUAAUUAUUUUUAUUUAAAAUUAAAUAUAAACAAUACCAAAUAAAAAUUAAUCGUGCGAUAUAUUAUAAACGAAUAUAAUUAAAGAAGUAUCAAAAUUCUUUAAAAAAAAAUCCGACCACGAUCUUCUUUCAAAGUAAAAGUUGAGACAGAAAAGAAAAAGAAAGAGGUUAAAGAAAGAGAAAAAAAAAAAUGGUGGUGCCUGGCAUACAAUACAGAAGUAAAAAAGUGAUGAGAUUGUGGCAGACAAAUAAAAAAAUGUGAAGAAAAAGUGGAAGAAAAUAAAAAAAGGGGUGGAAUGAAAAAGUGAGGUGUGUGGCCAGUGGCCACGUGAAGAAAAGAAAAAGAAAAGAAAAAGAAAAGAAAAAGAAAAGAAAGUGGUGGCAACCACAUGUGAAAUGGCAUGUACCAUCAUGUUAGCAGAUCUAAUAAAGGUCGCCUUUUAUCAUGGUAAUAUAAAAGUUGCGCAUCUUUGCAUUCUUACGUGAAUUCGAGUUUUUUUUGUUUCUAAAAGAUUGUGUGUUCUUAUAUUUCAGCGUGAGUUCGAAAAACCAACAAAAUCAUGAAGGGAAUGAAAACAAGUAUGAAUUCCAUUAGAACCAUCCUCUGAGUGAUCUUCCUUGUCAAAAUUCCCACACGCCAUUAACUUAAUCAUUAACUUAGCAUAUGUAAAGAAGAGCUCAAAAAGUGGUUGAUUCUUUACUCACUCAGGUUUUUUUUCUGUAUGUGACAAACAUCAGAUUAAAGUUCCUAACAUGAAUGACAUCUUUCAAACUAUAGGGAUAAAAUAACUUCAGCGGGGACUUGUAUGCAUCAUUAUCACGUUGAAAUGUUUUGUAAUGUUAUUGAUAUGCAACUUCAAGAGCUAAAUAUUCGUUUUGCUGAGACGAAUAUUGAGUUGCUUCUUUGUGUGAAUCCAGGUGAUAUUCGUUCUCUGCUUUUGACAAACAAAAGUUGAUUCGGCUUGCUCAGUAUACCUGAAUGGCUUUUCGGCACUUGACUUGAUGAUAUUGUUUUUUUAAGGAGCUUUUUGACACUUGACGAUACUUGAAAAUCAGCUUAAGAUGCACAUUAUGGACAUGCGCUCCAGCAUUGAGUUUUUAGGAUUGAAUGGGAUUGCGAAUCUUGCACAAAAAAUGGUUGAGACAAAAUAAGAAACUGUUUACCCAUUAGUUUACUUGAUGUUGACAUUGGCACUCAUGUUACUAGUUGCAUCUCCCAGUGUAGAGGGCGUUUUGUGCUAUGAGGAUUGUGAAGAAUUGAUUACUCAAUCAAAUGGAAGAUCAAGGGACAGAUGAUUGUUGAAUUGCCUAUAUUGAGAAAGACAUUCUCGAUGAUAUCAAACAUGAAGUUAUUAAGCAACGAUUUCAAAAUAUGAAAACUCAUCCAUGGCAAAUAUUAUUGUAACUAAUGGAUAUAUUAUCAAAUAAUGCUGAUUUGUUGUCGUAGAAUGGGCUUCAGUUUUAUUUUUCCUUAUUUAGUUAAAAUAUUGUUAGUAUAGAUAUGUCUUUGCAUCCCAUCCCUUUAAUUUUAACAGGUUCGAUGAUGACCGCUUGCUCAAGAAAAAUGACUGCAGAACAUUAGAGUUACAGGUUAGUGUCGAGAAGUAAUGUACUUGAAUGGAUGACCAUAGGUUGCAUUUUGCAGUUAGUAUUUGGCAUUAUAUGUCGUUUUGUAUCGGAAAAUUAUAGAGCUAUACAGUUGAAUUGAAUUACAAUUGAAUUGAAGGAGAAUGAGUGUGCGUUUUACGUUGAUUAGUUUGCUCACAAUCUUCAUUCUACACUUGUAGAGAUGGCAAAUGAUCAUUCUGAAAUCUAUUGUCUCUUUACUUCAGUUGCUAAUUUGGCAAAAUGAUGCACCAAGCUAAAGUUUGAAACUAAACUGAACUGAAUCCUUUUGGUUAUCUAAUUUACACUGAAAUGAUGCACCAAACCAAAAUGUGUAUUCUAAUUGGUGAGGUAACAUAAUAUGUCCUUAUUUCCAAAAAAAAAACAUAAUAUGUCCUUGUCCUUGAUAGCAUUCAACAUUCAAAUUCUCUAACAAGUUUGUGACAACCCGUUCCAACUUUAUCAAAUUUUAAUUUUGAAAGUGAGAAUUGACUAAAAUGCCUCUGUUGGGUUCAGCUGAUACGUGGACGUUUGAGCCAGUGCUUAAUUUGUCUCAUUUCGUAGUAUAUCGAGAUAGUACUCAUCGUUACUAACGUGUGAGCGCUAACUAGACCCAAAUUAGAUUUGUAACAAAGAAACUACACUUGUUAAUAAACGGGUAAAUAUGUACACAAAAUUGUGUGAAAUUCACAGAGUGUGCAUGUGAGAAACUGUAACCAUUAUCCUUUCCGAAUCCUUAUUUGCGUAUUGCGGAAAAUAUCAAUUCAUCAUAAUCGUUCACUACACAUAUAAAUGAUUUUAAAUAUUUUAUUCUUUUUCCAGCUUGCACGCACAAAUAACGGGCCCCAUUCUUUUUUCGUCACUUUGUAUCAGAUGCUUUAUCCAUCUAAAAUGGAUCAUUAUUGAUUGAAUGAUAACAACCACCACUCUUACAUCACACAGUACAUAAAGACUUCAUUAUUUAUUUAAAGUAUCUGUUAGCUUUUAAAAAUUUGUCAUGUUGUGAGAUUUUUCUUCCGUUAAAUCACGCUUUUGUUUCGUGUGAGAAUGUGAAAAGUUUGUCUAUUUGUAUGAUUUAAAUAUGUGAGAUAGGUGUGUGUUUCUGAUGCUUUUAGCUGAGAUUAAUAUCAUAUGUAAUGUCAAAUUGGAUGUUGCGUAUAGGGAUGGGCAACGGUUAUGACAGGCAGAUAACCGCAGUUAUUUACCCAUAACUAUUUUUGCUCAUACCCGCAUAACCGUUUAUCCGUUGGGUAAUUGCCUAAACGGUUAUACCCAUACCCAUAAACAUUUAUAAAUGGUUAACCAUACCCAUAACUGCAUACCUAUUUAACCGUAACCGUUUAAUACCCAUUUACCCAUUUACCAUUUUUAACCCGUUUGUCUUUUUUUUUACCAUCAUCCAUUUUUCACCCGUUUACAUGUUUUUUAACAACUUGAAAUUUUAAAAAAAAAUGUCAUAAUUUUUUUUUUUGACAAUUAAACACCGUUAUAGGUACAUUCAUCAUACAUUUCCGUAUUUUAAUUUUUUAAGUCCUUAUACCAUUCCAAUAAUUGAAAUAAUAAUUUACGGAUGAUAUUUUUAACUGUUACCAAUGAAAGUAAAUAUAAUAUUUGCCAAGUAUUAUUGGGUUACAAAAAUUGUUUAGAAGACAUUUCUGUCAAAGCAUUUAUGUCAAUUUCACGGUUACCCACAAAUAAUUUAAAUUAAUUUGGAGAAUUCCUUGAUGAUGAGAAUCAUCAUUCCUGUAGCAGUGUUAUUGAUAAAAAGACCGAUGAAUUCCUUGCUAAUUUAUUGGGUGCUAAGUAUUAUUGGAUCAAGAACUUGGUUUGUGUUAGUUUUACAUAUAUAAAAUAAAUGGGUAAACGGUUACCGGUUUAUAACCACGGUUAAUACCCAUAACCGUCCAUUUAAAUUUCGCGGGUAAACGGUUAUACCCAUAACCGUUUAUUAUCUAAACGGUUAGUCAUAACCAUAAUCGUUUAAUUUAAAUGGGCGGGUAACCACGGUUACCCUUAACCAAUGGGUAUUUGCUCAUUCCUAGUUGUGUAUAAUUAAAUUAGUGUAAAAUAUCACUUUAUGAGUGAGUCACGAGAGCAAAUCCCAUGCGAGAAUGUGUGCGUUGAAUGUAUUGAGUUAUGCAAAGAGUAAAAUUGUAGCAGUUGCAUUGUUAAUUUGAUGCAUUUACUUAUGUAGUUUUAAUUUUGGCUAAAAAACAUUAUUUUAAAGGAUAAAAAUUAGUAAAGAUGUGUUAAAAGUAAAAAUAAAUGCGUUGAUAGUAUCACUAUUUUAAAAUUGUUCAUUCAAUUUGCAUGACUAACAAUCUCAAAAUGAAUAAAUUUACCUUACUUUUGGGCUUGUUUCUUUACUUUACUUUUGAAAAUGACUGCAACUUUACUUUAGUGUGCUUUUAACAAACUAUAGUUUAAUUUGUUUUAUCUUUAAUAAGAUUAGUUGUUUGACCGAAAACAAAAGAAUAACUUUUUUUUUGAGAUAUUUUUACACAAUGAUAAAAAAAUAUGCAACUCUAAUUGCGAUGCUUCUACCGUGAAAUGAUAUAAAAUUGUAAUGCCACGAGAGAGUGAGGAUGGCUCGAGACAUGUAUUGUCGUUUGAAAAUUUGGGGUUCGUAAGCAAUGCAUCCAUUUCUCUUUCACUUUUGUCUUUUUCUUGUUAAAGAGAAUACAAAAUGACAAAACUAAUCUUGUUGGGUUUAAUGGAAUUUUGAGCCAAUGCUUAAUUCGUCUCAUUUCUUACCAUAUUUGGACCGUCAUGAAAGCAUAAAAAAAAAUGAACUUUAAUGAAAAGUUCUCAGUACUAUUCAUUUUAACGAAAAAUCAUAUUUUUACAUUAAAAAAUCAAUUCUGGUACUAUUUAUUUUACCCUUUAUUUUAUCCGUUAAAACUCAAAGUUUUCAAAACUUUUUAAUUAGUUUUUCAUAAAAAAACCUAGACCAAAAUCAAACUUAUAACGAUUUAAUGAUCGAUAACAAGCAAUAAAUUUGUACACUUGUGUAAAUUCGCACAUGUGUGCACGUAAGAAAGAGUCGGCAGACACUGUUGGAGAAAUUAUCUAUUGGCUUUUGAAAAUUUGUCCUGUUGUGCGAUUUUUCUUCCGUUAGAUCAGGCUUUUCCUUUACGGAAAGCCACCCACCCCACCAAUCAAUCACUCUGCUUUUUCUCCCUUUCUCUCAGGGUUUCUCCUCCCAGUAACAUCUCUCUCACUCGCUAAACCCUCUCUUUCUACCUCUCAAACUCUCCCGUCCUCUCUUUUCUUUGUAACGCAGCGAAAGUCACCAAACCUUGACGAAUCAACGCUCAAACCACCACCACAUCCCACCCUCUUGACCUCGCGAGUUCGAACCCGAGCUCCGUUUCGUAGGAAACAGAGACUAGAAGCUCUAGCUCGAAGCUCCGACGAGAAAGAAACUUCCCGACGAAGUUCCCGACACUUUUCCGACCACUCCACACCGUUUUGGAAGAGUUGGAAGCCACCACACAACUCCCUAACGUCCCUGGGUCAAGUUUGAGGCAAUCCCCAACUCGAAAACACACGGUUUCGAAGCUUUGGGUUUUUGGCCGAGACUUUCUGGCCAAUUUCAGUACAUUUACGUCUACUUUUUGGAGUUCCAAGAGGUAUAAACUUGUUCCUUGUGCUUCAUUUCCAUGUAAAGAGCGUAAAAUGGUUGAGAAAUGAGCAAGUUAUGACCUUUUGAAAUUCUCCCCAGUUUCCGUCGAUUUCAGGUUCCUUCCGUCCUGUUUUUGGCUAAAUCAUGGCGAGUUAGCCAUUGCUAUGGGUACCAAUCUGUUCAUCUCAUUCUGAGGUAUCAUUUCCAUUCUGAAUCACUCAACUUCGUUAAGAUAUGCGGAAGUUAUGAUGAUUUAAAAAUUUCCCAGAAAACCGGCGAGAAACUGCAUAAUCCGGCGACCAGCGACCGGAAUCUGGUGAAAAGUAAAUGAAAAAACGCAGUUCUAAAACAACUAAAUACGUAAUUGCAUAUCAUUCAAAACACAGAAACUUGUGAGAGUGGCCUGAACAGAAAGAAAAAAUAUGAAAUGAAGUUCCUUUAAAAUCUUAUCCGGUAAAAGAAUUUUUCAUUAUGAUGGAACACAGACGGUGGAAAGUGUUUUUACGGAAGUGAUAGAAAUUUUAUUCUUAACUGUUUAACACAAAUAUUUUUUAAUUUGUAUAAUGACACGUAUUGUAUCAUUUUAUGUGUCGAUCAUAUUAAAAAAAUAAUGUUCAAGAAGGGUAACAUCACAUAUCUAACUUAAACUAGGGAAUGUCAUACUUAAUGUGAUCAUAACUAGUAACUUUUUAUUUUUUACCAACUGCUAAUAAAUUAUAAAGCACCAAGUAUUUGAAUUUUUUAAUUAACCUGGUGAGAUAUUCCCCAAGUUCUGACAUCCACGCCAAUCAAUGUAGUAAUUCCUAAUCUUGUAGUUUGUAAAAUUAUCUUUCCCACCUAGAAUGCGAAUAAGGGGUACAUUUUGCACAGUGCACCCUCACUACUAGUUUAAAUGACUUAUAAGCUUUGGUUUUAUUUAUUCAAAUUUUUGCUCAUCAUCUAUACUUUAUGAUUUUUGUCACUUUUCAGGUGUCCGCUAGUACACUUUGACUUCAGUUGGGGUCUGUCAAAGUUCAUGAAGCACCAUUACUAAUUCCAGACAUAUGAUUUGUUGCUGAACAAGACAUAAAUUUCAUAAUUUCACUUUUACUCUGGACAGUUGUAUCGUGUUGACUUACAAUACAGGUACUACAUAUUUCUCGAAAACUAUUUCUUUCAAAUAUUUGUUGUUUUAGACGUUUGUUUUUACUCUGCCUGACUAAGAAAUAAAAGUGUUGGUUUUACAUUUUAGUGCCCACCAAAUACUGUAUUUCAGCUGAGCUUCAAUACUAACAAACCUAAGGAAACCAUCAUGUAUUAAAAAAUAAUCAACUAAAAGUGAGCUAAUCCCCUUAUAAUCAAAUUUUAUUGUUUUCUAAACAAAAAAAAAAAGAAAACUAAUGAAAAGGGCUUGAAAACUUUGAGUUUUAAUGAUAAGGACAAAAUAAAGGGUAAAGUGAAUAGUACCAGGAUUGACUUUUUAGUGUAAAAAUGUGGUUUUUCGUUAAAGUGAACAGUACCGGGAGCUUUUCGUUAAAGUUUCCAAAAAAAAAUGGAUUGGGGUAGCUAGCAGAAAUAAACAAAUAAAAUAUCAUGUGACAGUGAGUUUGGGGACCAUACAAAUGCAUGUGUUAUUUUUAUCAUGCAAUACAAAAAGUUUGAAACCGUUCUGCUAUGCAAUGAUGAAAUGUAAACUAUUCAAAAUUUGCAUACUGUAAAAUAAUAAUAAUAAUAAAAUAAAUAUACACAUGCACUAAAACGAUCAAUUGAAAAUAUUGCCCUCAAAGUUCGAUUUUCUUUAACCAAAACCCACCAUAGUAUAUUCUCCUAACAAAAACUUAAUAACUAGGCUCCAAAUUGCCCUUAAUGUUCUUAUUUUAUUGUAGAAACUUCAUCGUAAGUCCGAAAUCAGUUCCACUUGCGUCCACGCAUUCGUAAUAACGAGCACUACGAGGAUAUGCUAAAAGGAUGGGUCUAUUCACUUGUGUGUGUGUUUAGGUCAACCCCAAAAAAUAAACUAAUUAGGCAUUAUGCCAAAUUAGAAAAUAAUAAAACAUAUGGACCAACUUGCCCACUUGUUUAACAAGUCUAGCGAGCAAACCAUCAUUGUCACAGUCUGCAACCAACGAUACUAACAGCGUACUUGAAAACAAGUUGUGAAGUCUUGAGGGUGCAAAAUAACCAUUUUGCCCAUCGUCGUGAAACAUGUGCAACUCUUUAGUAAGGACGAGUACUAUCUCAUAACGACAGAACAUGGACAAAAGUGAAAAGAACUCAAAUGUCAACAUAGAAUUUUCACUUAGCCUGUCAAGGGUAUUUUCGUAAUUUUAUAAUGUCAAAGAAUAAAAUACAAAGGAUAGGAUGUAACAAUCUACCUCUUUAAAGAAAUUUUGUCCCUAAAAAAUCAUAUUAUACAAGAUCUUACUCGAAGAACAAGUAUGCAUACAGACCUCUCAUGUGCCUUUUAUGCCUCUACGCUGCUACCUGACGCUUAUCUGGUAUUCUAGUACUGUCCAACUCCAUACCACCUAUAUCCUGGUCCUAAGGCAUGACUUCUUGUUACUGCAUAGUAUUUCUAGUAUAAGGAACCAUACCGUGUCCUGGUAGUGGAUAACGCAACACCAUCAUAGCAGGUUGGCUUCCCAUGAGUAAGUUUGGUUGAUAGAGAACUGCUCUUGUGAGCUACUUUCGUUGUUUUGGGGCACACUUGUUGGCCCAAUAUUCUUGCUGACCGCAUAUAUGACAACCUUUACUCCCUUCCUAUACUUGUCGUAAUGAUGGGUGUUGUAUUGGAAGCAAUUAUUGUACUGGUGUUACUGGAAUUACCCUAAGGGCGAAAUUUAGAAGCUGUUGGAUAUACUUCCAAAAUCGAGUUUACUGGAACUUGAUUAUCCAUUAGAAGAUGUGAAAUUAUAGUUGUUUUUAUUUUUUGAAACAUUGGUUCUGUUGUGGAUAAAAAGAACACUAGUGUUCUUCUGUUGAGUGCUACCACUCUCAUCACCAACAUUGUCACUCGAGACAUUAUCGAAAUUCUCAAUGCAAAGUAAAGCCUUGUAGAAUUCCUUGUAUGUGGUACAUGAUAUAGGUGCUGCCAAGAAACAAAACUGCUUGCGGAUCUGUUAUUUGAACUGGUGGAGCCUCUUUGAAUGGUUAGUAGCGAUUGUUGGACAAUAGCAUGACAGAUCGUUAAACUUCCGAUGGUACUUAGCUACCGAUGUUUUGCCUUGUGUAGGUCCCUAAACUCAUCUUCUUUUUUUUUCGAGUCUUGUACUCCGAAAACUCCGCAUGUGUAAGUUUAUCUUACAUUGCCAGUCCCAAGCCCGGAUAAAAGAGGAGGGGGAGGACAUCAGGUAAUUGAUAGCCGGCACUCCUAUUUUACGUCAAAUUCUUAUGAUAAUGAAUCCUGAACCAAAUUGCACUAAAGUUAGGUCAUUACCCGUAAGUGGCGCGCUGUGGCCCGAGCAUAUUAAUAAGUGAGCAAGGGUCGUCGUAUCUUCAUCAACGCUCGGAUGCAGUGUUAAAUGAGUAAGGAGGCCAUAUAAACUUCUUUUUGAACGACUCCACUCAAAGUUGUUUGGAAGCAUCUGCUCCUAUCAACUUUGACCUUAUUGGACGGGGGAUGGUGAAGAAGCUAGGGCAUGAGGGUAGAGUUCAAGAGAGUAAAAUGCGUUUAGGAACGUGGAAUAUAGGAACCUUAACGGGAAAAUCUGUGGAAGUAGUGGAAGUUAUGGUGAGGAGAAGGAUAAGUAUUAUAUGUCUACAAGAAACUAAGUAGGUUGGUCUUAAGGCAAAGGAUCUCGAAAACUCAGGUUUUAAACUUUUGCAUUUGGGCACAAAUAGAACGAGAAAUGAUGUUGGCAUCAUCGUGGACAAGACCUUGACACAAGAUGAUGUAAACAUCAAGAGGGUAGGAAAUAGAAUUAUGGCAAUCAAAUUGUAAUAGGACAAGAACUCAUCAAUGUGAUUAGCGUGUAUGCACCUCAAGCAGGGUUGGAUACGAGAUUGAAGGAGAAAUUUUGGGAAGAUCUUGGAGACUUGGUACAAGGAAUCGCUCAGAUUGAGGAGAUUUAAAUGGACACGUGGGCAAUGAGACAGGCCAUGGUUUUGGGGAGAGAAACUAGGAUAGGAAAGCCAUCUUGGAUUUUGCAAUGGCAUACGAUCUCUUCUUAGCCAACACCUUCUUUAAGAAGAGAGAAGAACAUGUGAUCACCUACAAGAGUGGGUCGUCAAAAACACAAAUAGAUUUUCUUCUAAUGAGGAAGGAGGAUCGUAUAACUUGCAAGGAUUGCAAAGUUAUACCAGGAGAGAGCUUGGCUAAUCAAUAUCGCUUGUUGGUGAUUGAUGUACAUAUCAGAAGAGAGAAAAAAGAACAAGACCUUGAAGUGCCCAAGGACUAGAUGGUGAAAUCUAAAAGGAGAAAAACAAGCCAUUUUCAAAAAGAAAAUAAUCACCUUAUGCGUGUGGGGUAAAGAGGGGGAAGCUAGCCAAAUGUGGGAUUCUAUGGCUAGUUGUAUCCGAAAAGUAGCAAAAGGGGUAUUAGGAAAGUCCAAGGACUUUGCUCCACACCAAAAGGAAUCUUGAUGGUGGAAUGAAGAGGUAGAAACAAAGGUUAAAGCUAAGAAUGAAUGUUGUAAAGUCUUAUACAAGGAUAGGACCGAUGAAAACGGCGAAAGGUAUAAAAUAACGAAGAAUGAGGCGAAGAAAGCUGUGAGAGAAGCGAAACUAGUAGCUUUUGACGAUAUGUAUAAGCAACUAUAUACCAAAUGAGAGUUAGAUAUCUAUAAACUAGCUAGAGCAAGAGAAAAGAAGACGAGACCGAAACCAAGUAAGGUGCAUCAAUGAUAAGAAUGGAAAAGUUCUUGCUACAGAGAACACGGUCAAAGACUGAUGGAGUGGUUAUUUUCAUAAUCUUUUCAAUGAAAGACAUGAAAUGAGUACUUCUUUGGGGGAGUUGAAUAACUCAGAAGAGUAGAAACUACUCAUUUUACCGCCGAAUUAAGAAGGAAUAAGUGGUUGUAGCUUUGAAAAAGAUGAAGCAUAGAAAAACAAUGGUCCCAGAUGAUAUACCGAUUGAAGUGUGGAAAGUCUUGAGAGAGACGGGUAUAACAUGGCUCAUAGACCUUUUCAAUAGGAUUUUAAAAACGAAGAAGAUGCCAAAUGAGUGGCGAAAGAGCUCUUUGGUGCCUAUCUACAAGAAUAAGGGCGACAUACAAAAUUGCAUGAACUAUAUGGAUAUCGUAACAUCCCACAUCGCCCAGGGGAGUGAUCCUUAAAUGUAUAUUCUCAUUCCUACCUAGCACGAGGCCUUUUGUGAGCUCAUUGGCUUCAGGUUUAGUAGGAACUCUGAAGUUAAGCGAGUAGCGCGCGAGAACACUCCCAUGAUGGGUGACCUAUUGGGAAGUUGCUCGUGAGUUCCCAGAAACAAAAUCGUGAUGGCGUGGUCGGGGCCCAAAGUGGACAAUAUUGUGCUACGGUGGUAGAGCGGGCUCGGGAAGUGGUCCACCCCGGGCUGGGAUGUGACAAUGGUAUCAAAGCCAAUCCUUGGCCGGAAGUGUGCCGACGAGGACGUCGGGCCCCUAAGGGUUUCGAUUGUAACAUCCCACAUCGUCUAGGGGAGUGAUCCUUGAAUGUAUAUUCUCAUCCCUAGCUUGCACGAGGCCUUUUGGGAGCUCACUGGCUUCGGGUUCCGUAGGAACUCCGAAGUUAAGCGAGUAGCACGCGAGAGCACUCUCAUGAUAGGUGAUUCACUGGGAAGUCGCUCGUGAGUUCUCAGAAACAAAACCGUGAGGGUGUGGUCGGGGCCCAAAGCAAACAAUAUUGUGCUACGGUGGUGGAGUGGGUCCGGAAAGUGGUCCGCCCUGGGCCGGGAUGUGACAUAUAUUAAGUUAAUGAGUCAUACAAUGAAGCUCUAGGAGAUGAUAAUUGAGCAUAAACUGAGGCAAGAGACAUGGGUCUCGAACAACCAAUGCGGGUUUAUGCCAAGGCGCUCAACCAUGAAUGUAAUCUAUCUCUUACGAAGAUCGAUGAAAAGAUAUAGAGAUAUGAAAAAGGAUUUGCAUAUGAUCUUUAUAGAUUUGGAAAAACGUAUAAUAGGGUCCCAAGAGACAUUUUUUGGAGGAUUUUAGAGAAGAAAAGAGUACAAGUAGCAAUAUCCAAGCUAUAAAAAGAUAUGUAUAAUUGAGCAAGAACUGUCGUAAGAACUCAUGAAGGACAAACCGAAAGCUUCCCCAUUACUGUAGGGUUACAUCAAGGCUUAUCUUUAAAUUCUUACCUUUUUGCAUUGGUAAUGGAUGAGUUAAUGAGACAUAUUCAAGAUGAUAUUUGUUGGGGUAUGUUUUUCGCAGACGAUAUAAUAUUGAUAGAUGUAACUAAGGAAUGAGUAAAUGCGAAACUUAACCUUUAGAGAGAAGUGUUGGAAUAUAAAGGUCUUUGCCUAAGUCGGUUAAAGACAUAGUAUAUGGAAUGCAAGUUCAAUACAAAUGGAGGCUCAAAUGAGUUAGGGGUGAAGAUUGGAGACCAGGAAGUACCAAAGAGCGACUGCUUUCACUACUUAGGAUUUAUCUUGUAAAAGAACAGAGAAUUGGAUGGAGACCUCAACCAUAGAAUACAAGUUGGAUGGAAGAAGUGGAAGAGUGCAUUUGGCGUGUUGUGUGAUCGUUGUAUACCACUAAAGCUCAAAGAAAAAUUUUAUAGGACGGCAAUAAGGUUGGCAAUGCUUUAUGGCAUAAAAUGUUGGGCGUUGAAGCAUCAACACGUACAUAAAAUUGGUGUAGCGGAGAUGAGAAUGCUUCGUUGGAUGUGUGGGCACACGAGAAAGAAUAAGAUUAGGAUGAGGAUAUCCGAGGUAAAGUUGGAGUAGCCGAAAUUGAAGAAAACAUGAGAGAAAAUCCAUUACGGUGGUUUGGACAUGUGAAACGAAGGCUUACUAACGCUCCGAUUAAAAGAUGUGAUUACGGGACAGGUCUAUGACCGAAGGAGUAGAAGAAGACCUAUGAAGACUUUGGAAGAGACUUUGAGAAAAGACUUAGAAUGCUUGGAUCUAACGGAAGACGUGACACAGAACUGAACACAAUGGCGUUCUAGGAUUCAUAUCAGGAUGGAGAGUUAAAAGAAUAAAUGAGUAAAUGAUUUAAAGUGCUGCUAUUAUCUUGUGAUAAAUGAUGUUGAGAUUUCCCCGGUUGUCGAAGUCAAAGAUGUUUGCCUGGGGACUGAGAACCUUUAGCACUCGAUACAUCUAAUGGAUGUUCAUCCCCCAUCUCGGUAAGAGCCGCUCGGUCUGCAUCGCGCUCCAAGUUUUUUUUCUUGGUACCCAAGAGUAGAUUAUUCUCCAGGAACAGAUGAUGGAGAAGAAUCCUCCAAAAUCCACGACUAAGGGUUGGUUUUAUGGUUAGUGAAAAAGGUUGACAAUCAACUAGACUAGCAAGUCACCAUUGAGCAGGUUGGUGGAGUCAGCAAAGUUGUCAUGAUCAGCGGCAUUGCUACCGACUAACUAGGAGUAGUCUUAAGCCUCAGCCAUCAUUUUCUGAAUUUAAAGCAGUCGACAUUGUGUAUGUUCGGUAUUUACAGGUAGUGUAUGGAUCUCAGAAAUAUAAGGGAAGAGAAUCACAGUAGAGUAAGGUGUAGUUACUCAGGUGAUUAAGCACUCGUCUCAUUUAGACAACUUAGGCUAGUUGGUCUACCAAUUAUGUGGAUUUCUACUUUAUCCUACAGACUAGAUUUACCGAAGAUGGUCGGCGCCGACAUUUACUCACACAGGCGACAACCAAGAAUUUGAAUUUCUUGGAAAAAAAUUACAAUUACAUCUAAAGGUUUCGAAUAGUUCACAAACAAAAAGAAAUGCAAGUGUGGAAAACUUGGAGAAACAACGACAAAGAUUAAAGGCUUGAGGAGGUAGCUCUCAAGGUCAACGGAGAAAUUGUAGAGCAAAUUCGACAGAGUUUCGACAAUGAAGUCAAAUUACAAAAUGAAGGUAAUGCAAGGGUAAGGUUUAUAUAGCAGGAGGCAGAUUCUCUGCUUUCUUUUUCCAUACACUUCUCAUAAUCUCCUAUUUGUGCGGUCACGGUUAAGCCACGUCAACAUUUUAUAUUAAUUUUUUUAUAUAAAUAAUAAGACAAAAAGACGUACCUUAAUUGUGACCGAACAAAUAAAAGGGAAUGAGAAGUGUAUGAGAAAAUGUGAGCAGAGAAUCUACCUCCUUAUACAAGAGGUCACACUUGCUUGCAACGUCUUUAUUACACAUACGCCUCGAUUACCCCUCCAACCAAUGGCAAACACGUACGCUACUGGCACCGUUGUCACGACCGCCUAUUUGAGCGGUAGCCAUACUAUCAGAGCCAGAGCGCUUGGGAAGGAGGAAUACCCAUGUUACCCUUUGAACCAUAUAUUAUUUUAAGGUCCGAUCGACCGUUUCGACUCCAUGCCCAAGAAGAAACCUUUAAACAAGGAGUUGGGGACUUGUUAACACAAGAUCUUUUUAGACCCUUAAAAAUAGUAUAGGCCGGGAAAGAGAUCGAGAAAGGCCCAGGAAAGAUAAGGCCCAAAGGAGGAAAGGAAAUCCAAACCCCAAUGAAUUAGAAAGAAUCAUUUAUCGAGCGCUAUAGUUAACCGCUCACUAGUUUGGGUUGACUAGAGCAACAGAAAGUACUUUCCCGACUGAGAACUUUAUGGCACAAAGCUCUAGGAACAGGUCUACUCAGACACCAUAUUAGGCUAUAUGUCAGUGACCAAUGAAGGCAGAAGUCUAGGAUGAGAUGUAAAGGUAGUCGGACUAUCACUCGGAAAAAACUCCGUUAACUUGUCAAGGCCAAGCAUGUCACUUGGUACACACUGGCCCAGAAAAACAUGUAAUCUCGACUAAACAAUGUUACUUCAUAGCCAAAUGUUGACUGAUGAAUGAUAAAGCUCUCAGCAUGCUAGUCUAUGUACGUAGCUCAUUUAACGCUAGAAUAGUAAAGUAAGUGAGCUCAUCACUGUUUGGACGCAUUAAGGGCCUAUAUAAAGGAGUGAGCACCUCUUUUAAAGGGGUCAAACGAUUGUGAGAUUAGCCGAGCACUUAUUGUAUUCUCCGAGUGAAUAUGUACUAAGCAACACAGUGAAUAUAGCACAGUUUUGAGUGGUAAACCAUUAAAGUCCAUUAUUUCAUAGCUUUAAUCCUAAAUCCAACAGGGGUUAAUUAUUCUUGUUUGCUAGUGUGCAAAUUUUGAGCUUUAACAAUACUUGAAGAUAAAGAAUGUCAUUUGGUUCAAGAUUAAAUUUACCUAUAUUUCACAGAUAUAGAUAUAGGUAAAUUAUUUUAUGUCGAUUAAAGUUACUACUUGAAGAUAAAGGAUGUAAUUUGUUUCAAGAUAAAGGAUUUCAAAUGUCAUUUGGUUAAAAAAAAUAUAGGUAUAUUAUUUUUACGAAGAUUAUAAGGAAAUAUAUUUUUAUAAUAAUAAUAAAAUAUAUAUAUAUAUAUAUGUAUGUAUAUUGUUUCAAUUGUAGCCUACAAAACUGAAAUUUUGAACAAGUGCUAGCAAAAACAAUUAUAAAGUGUAAUGCACCCACGUGAUGAAUUUUAAAUGCUUGCCAAAAAAAAAAACAACCGAAAGAAAUGAGAUGAAAUUUAGGAUUCCAUCAAUACUGUAGGUAUUAAUAUAUUUAUUGAGAUAAUUAAGGUGUUUUGGCAUAGAUUGUAAAUAGUUUGUAAUAAUAGGUUAUUUCUUUGUCUACAUGUCAAUUUGAAUUUUGGGGUUUAAUAAGAUAUUUAAAUAUAAGUGGGUUUUGUCUAAAAAUAAAAAUUAUGGGUUGUGAUUUUCACACAAUUUCAUAUAAUUCAAGUUCAGCAACAUGAUAAACUCAAAUAAAAAUUCAAAUAUUUUAAACAUCAUGAUGAUCUUAUAUUCAAAUGCUAUCAAAGCAUCAGCACACAUUUUUUUUUCCUAAAAUAAAAAUAAAAAUACAACCUAGAUUUAAACAAACAAAAAAUAUCCGAUUAUUAAUGUUUAUUGCUCGUUUGGUUUUCGGCAGUAGAGCACUGAGCGCGAGACUUACAAAGCUAUCAACAAAGAGAAGCAUUCCAGCCGCAGUCUUUGAUUUCAGAAGGAAAUGGCAACGGACAUUAUAAUUGCAAUUGCCUCAAAAAUUGGAGAGUGCUUGGUCAAACCAAUAGGAACAGAGUUUGGCUAUUUGAUUAAUUACCAUUCCAACCUUGAAAGUCUUAAGGGUGAGAUAAAAAAGCUUUUUGACAAGAAAGAUGGAGUGCAGGGAUUGGUGGAUGCUGCCAAAAGGAAUGGUGAAAUCAUCAAACCUGAUGUUCAGAGUUGGCUAAAGAAUGUGAACGACGACAUGGUCAAAAAAGUGUUGCAGUUUGAGGAUGAAAUUAACAAGAAAAGGCGAUGUGUGUAUCGAUGGAGCUUGAGUCGGAGAGCCUAUAAGAUUAAACAAGAAGUUCUUCAGCUCUAGAACGAAGGAGCAUUUGAAAAUGUGGCCCAUCCUGCACCUCCACGAGAGAUAUGGUCAACAUUCAAGAAAGGUUUUAAGGAUUUCAAGUCCAGAAUGGCAUACAUGAAUGAGGUGAUAGAGGGUUUGAAGAGGGAACGAGUACGAAUGAUCGGGAUUUGUGGAAUGGGGGGUGUGGGUAAAACCACAAUGGUGAAAGAAAUCAUCGAAAGAUUGGCAAAACUAGACUUGUUUGAUAAAAUUGUAAUGGCAACUGUGUCUCAAAGUCCAAGUAUUAGGAUGAUCCAGUCGGAAAUUGCAGACAAAAUAGGUUUGAAAUUUGAGGAGGAAUCCGAGCCCGGAAGAGCACUAAAGCUACGUGGGAGACUCAUGGAAAUAAAGAGGAUCCUGAUUGUAUUAGAUGAUGUCUGGACAGAGCCUGAUUUUGAGGCUAUAGGACUCCCUUGUGGAGAUGAUCAUGAAGGGUGCAAAGUUUUGUUGACAUCACGAGAUUCGGAAGUCUGCAACAGGAUGGGAAGUCAACAAAUUAUUGCUGUCCCGAUUUUAACAACAGAAGAAUCACAGGAGCUCUUUAGAGAAAUGGUAGGUGAAUCCUUCGAUGAGCCUGAUUUACGUUCCAUUACAAAAGAGGUCGUGCAUGAAUGUGGAGGUUUACCUAUUGCAAUUGUAACUGUUGGAAAAGCCCUAGAAAAGAAAACAAGCGUGAAUGGGAUGAUGCCCUUAAUCAGCUGCGAAAUUCUACCCCAGUGAACAUCCCUGGAGUGAAUGACAAAGUUUAUUCUUGCAUAAAAUGGAGUUAUGAUAGAUUGGACAGUGAUGAAGCCAGAUCAUGUCUUUUACUUUGUUGUUUAUUUCC